AUGGUAUCCGCCUCUACAUCAGUAUUAAGGCCACUGAAGGAAGUCAGUGCCUGGGAUCCUGAGAUGCAGCCACACCAUAAAGUUUCAUUACUCAGUUGCAGUAGAGAAAGCCUCAAAGGAACCACUUCUAAUGGAAACUGCCUCAUUUCCUGGUCAAGUUUCACAGUGGAGGUGCUCUGAAGUAGGUGCUCUGAAGUGCUCUGAAGUGAAAAGUUCACUUCAUGAGAAGUUACAAACUAAUUGUAAAGUAUCUCAAAAAAUGAUCAAGAUAUCCCUUUUCUCUUAUGGUAUAUGACUAAUAACUUGAUAUAUUUUUUAAGGAUCUGCAGCAUAAAAAUCAUUUUAAAAUACCAUUUAGUACUACCCUACUUUUUAAAGUAAAUGCUACU
rnacentral:lncRNA from 1 species